rnacentral:rRNA from 1 species
UACGUAGGGUGCGAGCGUUGUCCGGAAUUAUUGGGCGUAAAGAGCUCGUAGGCGGUCUGUUGCGUCGGCUGUGAAAACCCGGGGCUCAACUCCGGGCCUGCAGCCGAUACGGGCAGACUAGAGUUCGGCAGGGGAGACUGGAAUUCCUGGUGUAGCGGUGAAAUGCGCAGAUAUCAGGAGGAACACCGGUGGCGAAGGCGGGUCUCUGGGCCGGUACUGACGCUGAGGAGCGAAAGCGUGGGGAGCGAACAGG